rnacentral:rRNA from 2 species
AGCUGGAAUCGCUAGUAAUCGCGGAUCAGCAUGCCGCGGUGAAUACGUUCCCGGGCCUUGUACACACCGCCCGUCACACCACGAGAGUUUGUAACACCCGAAGUCGGUGAGGUAACCUUUUAGGAGCCAGCCGCCGAAGGUGGGACAGAUGAUUGGGGUGAAGUCGUAACAAGGUAGCCGUAUCGGAAGGUGCGGCUGGAUCACCUCCUUUCUAAGGA